GGACGCCCCGCCCGGUGGCCGCCCUCCCCCUCCGGUCGCCUCGGUUUUCCCCGCCGCGGCGCUCGGCCGUCAGAACCGCCGGUUCGUGGCCCGUCCCAUGGGCGGCCGAGGCGCGGGCGGUGCGGGGGGAGGCGUGGUGAGUUUGGCGGCGCGCCUCUCAGUGGUUCAGCACCUGGCAGUGCGAGGAGAUGAUCUCUGUCCGGCUUCCCAGGUGCAUGCAGCUUUGGAGGAGGAUGAUGGCUUCAGCCACAGGUAAGAGAGUACAGCACUGAACCCAGUGCAGGGUCAGAGAACAGCAGUGGACAGGUGAAGAAAGGUGGGCAGGCAAAGGCACAGACAGGUGGGAGCAACUCUGCAAGUGGACAAGGGGUGAAGGAAGAUGUGCCACUUGUAAGCACGUGCCACUGGCUGGACCUGAACAGCCAUGAAAUGGAAGCUGCUCCACUGGUUGGGGCCGGCCGGGUGGCUGGUGAGCUGUGAGGGAGGUGUGUCUGUGUGUGAGUCAGGAGAGGAGCCGGGAUGGGGUGAAAGGUGGAAUGGUACAUGCAGAGCAGGUGGCAGGAGGGAAGGGAGCGAGGUAAAGGCUUUCUUGAUAGGGAGACAGUUUGCUAGACAAGGAGACUGGGGAAGGUGAGGUAGGU
rnacentral:lncRNA from 1 species